rnacentral:rRNA from 1 species
UACGGGGGGGGCAAGCGUUGUUCGGAAUUACUGGGCGUAAAGGGCUCGUAGGUGGCCAACUAAGUCGGAUGUGAAAUCCCUCGGCUUAACCGGGGAACUGCGUCUGAUACUGGAUGGCUUGAGUUUGGGAGAGGGAUGCGGAAUUCCAGGUGUAGCGGUGAAAUGCGUAGAUAUCUGGAGGAACACCGGUGGCGAAGGCGGCAUCCUGGACCAACACUGACACUGAGGAGCGAAAGCCAGGGGAGCAAACAGG